UAUUGCACAUUCCCCAGCCU
rnacentral:miRNA from 1 species